rnacentral:misc_RNA from 1 species
GAUGAAGAACGCAGCGAAAUGCGAUAUGUAAUGUGAAUUGCAGAAUUCAGUGAAUCAUCGAAUCUUUGAACGCACCUUGCGCCUUUUGGUAUUCCGAAAGGCACACCUGUUUGAGCGUCAUGAAUACCUCAAUCUCCAUCUUUUCUUCGGAUUGAUGGGUGACUUGGAUGUUGAGCCCUGCUGGUAUGCUAUAUCAGCUGGCUUUAAACUUAUUAGCCGGCUCUGUACUGGAUCGGUUUGACUCGACGUGAUAAUAUUAUCGUUGAGGAUGCAUGUCUCAUGCAGCCGGAAAGUAUCAAAGCAGCUUCUAGCUUGCCUUUAGUGCACUUUUACAUUUUAGACCUCAGAUCAGGUGGGACUACCCGCUGAACUUAAGCAUAUCAAUAAGCGGAGGA